rnacentral:ncRNA from 1 species
UGAUUUAGUUUAUUGAUAUUUAUUAAAUUAUACGAAAGGGCCUUAUUUUUUUAAAGUAUUUUAAUGUAAAAUAACAUGUUAAUACGUAGUAUUGUUGACGAGACUCCUGAGGGAGCAGUGCCAGUCGAAGACCGAGGCUGAGACGGCACCCUAGGAAAGCGAAGUCAUACAAUACGAAGUAUUGAAUAUAAAAAGAA